UGAGUCCGACUCUCUACGGAGAGGAAGUGACUGAUGUCAAGCUUCCCAGAAAAGCCCGAACCACGUUAAUUUCUAAUUACCUGUACCCGAAACCGACACAGGUAGGGAGGUAGAGAAUACUAAGGGGCGCGAGAUAACUCUCUCUAAGGAACUCGGCAAAAUUACCCCGUAACUUCGGGAGAAGGGGUGCCACCGAGAGGUGGUCGCAGUGAAUAGGCCCAGGCGACUGUUUACCAAAAACACAGGUCUCCGCCAAGUCGCAAGACGCAGUAUGGGGGCUGACGCCUGCCCAGUGCCGGAAGGUUAAGGAAGUUGGUUAGGGUAACCGAAGCUAGCGACUGAAGCCCCGGUGAACGGCGGCCGUAACUAUAACGGUCCUAAGGUAGCGAAAUUCCUUGUCGGGUAAGUUCCGACCCGCACGAAAGGCGUAACGAUCUGGGCACUGUCUCGGAGAGAGGCUCGGCGAAAUAGGAUUGUCUGUGAAGAUACGGACUACCUACACUUGGACAGAAAGACCCUAUGAAGCUUUACUGUAGCCUGGAAUUGGCUUCGGGCUUCUCUUGCGCAGGAUAGGUGGGAGGCUUUGAAAUCUGGCUUGUGGGUCAGAUGGAGCCAACGGUGAGAUACCACUCUAGAGAGGCUAGAAUUCUAACUUUAACCCGUCAACCGGGGAAAGAACAGUUUCAGGUGGGCAGUUUGACUGGGGCGGUCGCCUCCUAAAAGAUAACGGAGGCGCGCAAAGGUUCCCUCAGGCUGGUUGGAAAUCAGCCGCAGAGUGCAAAGGCAUAAGGGAGCUUGACUGUGAGACCUACAAGUCGAGCAGGGUGGAAACACGGCCUUAGUGAUCCGACGGCACCGCGUGGAAGGGCCGUCGCUCAACGGAUAAAAGUUACUCUAAGGAUAACAGGCUGAUCUCCCCCAAGAGUUCACAUCGACGGGGAGGUUUGGCACCUCGAUGUCGGCUCAUCGCAACCUGGUGCGGAAGUACGUCCCAAGGGUUGGGCUGUUCGCCCAUUAAAGCGGUACGUGAGCUGGGUUCAGAACGUCGUGAGACAGUUCGGUCCAUAUCCGGUGUAGGCGUAAGAGCAUUGAGAGGAGCCUUCCUUAGUACGAGAGGACCGGGAAGGACGCACCGCUGGUGUACCUGUUAUCGUGCCAACGGUAAACGCAGGGUAGCCAAGUGCGGAGCGGAUAACCGCUGAAAGCAUCUAAGUGGGAAGCCCACCUCAAGAUGAGUGCUCUCACAGGGUUAACCUGGUAAGGUCACGGGAAGACUACCCGUUUAUAGGUGCUAGGUGGACGUUCAGUAAUGGAUGAAGCCGAGGCAUACUAACAGACCGAGGGCUUGACCA
rnacentral:rRNA from 1 species